CGGUCACGGUCACGGUGCCCCCCCGCCCGUGCCCGUGCCCGUGCCGGGUCCUCACCGUUCCCCGCGGGCGACUUCAGCCCCGCGGCCACUAACUGCCUCAGGAGCAGCGCGAGGAGCGCCCACAUGCCGCCUGUAUCGACCGCUCAGAAUCUUAUGACUAAGAAUCCCAUCUCCAGUUGAAAAUCUCAAAGGAUUCAGAGAAGGCAAAUUCAGCUUACUGCUCUGCAACGAGGCCCAGACACUGCUAGAUCUAAUCAGUGGUAGGCUACUACGAUGAGCUUAAAAGUUUUUGCAGGUGGAUAGAAAAGAACCAGAGAAGACAGAACAACAGUUUAUCAAAAUGAAGAAAACAGCAACCAGGAAACAAAAGGGCCAGAAGACUUCAAAUAUGCUUCUGAUGCACAGAUGGGAAAGGCACGACAUUGCUGGUGAGAUCACUUCCAAGAUGAAGAGUCAAAGACAUCUUGACAAAAGUAGAUGAAAAAAGCACUCUUGCCUACUGCUUCUACUUUAUCAAAAACACAGCCAUAACAUCUAGAUUGUAAUACAUAACCUGUUUGUAUCAAUGUAUAAAAGGAGAAUUCAUAGGAGGGGCAACCUUGUACUUGCCAAGGGGACAGCAUCCUGGGGCACUGACUGAGCAGGUACCAUUGUUGCGGGCAUACAUAUUAGAGUACCUGUAACCACUGAACCAUUGAACAUUGUUACUACCAUGCUUUGUCGACAGUAAACCUGGCCAAGCACUUUUGCCACCGAGCUUGUGGUCUUUCUUUAUGAGUAACACUGAGAUCUGCUACUACAGCUGACAUCAGACCUUCUAGAACAGCAAAACUGGCAGCAGUAACAACUUACCAGCCUUAACAACAUUCUGCAGCCCUAGCAACAUCAAUCUCGUCUUCAGAUCUGGAGGCUAUGUCUAUACUACAUAUCUUACAGCAGCACAGCGGUGCUGCUGUAAGAUCUCCUGCACAGCUGCUGCGUGCCAGCGGGAGAGAGCUCUCCUACUGGCAUAAUUAAACCACCCCCAACGAGCAGCAGUAGAUAUGUUGGUGGGAGACGCUCUCCCGCCAAUAUAGCCCUGUCCACCCCAGGGUUUUGUCAGUGAAACUUUUGUCAGUCCAGGGUGUGUGUGAGAUUUUUUUUCCCACCCCAACGGAUAAAAGUGCUAGUGUAUACAUAAAAAUAACGAGGAGUCCUUGUGGCACCUUAGAGACUAACAAAUUUAUUUGGGCAUAAGCUUUCGUGGAUUAGAACACACUUCAUCAGAUGCAUAGAGUGAAAAUACAGGAGCAGGUAUAAAUAUG